rnacentral:misc_RNA from 1 species
GAUGAAGAACGCAGCGAAAUGCGAUAAGUAGUGUGAAUUGCAGAAUUCAGUGAAUCAUCGAAUCUUUGAACGCACAUUGCGCCCCUUGGUAUUCCAUGGGGCAUGCCUGUUCGAGCGUCAUUUGUACCUUCAAGCUCUGCUUGGUGUUGGGUGUUUGUCUCGCCUCUGCGUGUAGACUCGCCUCAAAAUAAUUGGCAGCCGGCGUAUUGAUUUCGGAGCACAGUACAUCUCGCGCUUUGCACUCAUAACGACGACGUCCAAAAGUACAUUUUUACACUCUUGACCUCGGAUCAGGUAGGGAUACCCGCUGAACUUAAGCAUAUCAAUAAGCGGAGGA